rnacentral:rRNA from 1 species
AGAGUUUGAUCAUGGCUCAGAACGAACGCUGGCGGCAGGCCUAACACAUGCAAGUCGAGCGCCCGCAAGGGAGCGGCAGACGGGUGAGUAACGCGUGGGAACGUGCCCUUUGGUUCGGAAUAUUCCCGGGAAACUGGGAGCAAAACCGGAUAAGCCCUUCGGGGGAAAGUUUACGCCAAAGGAUCGGCCCGCGUUAGAUUAGGUAGUUGGUGGGGUAACGGCCUACCAAGCCUACGAUCUAUAGCUGAUCUGAGAGGAUGAUCAGCCACACUGGGACUGAGACACGGCCCAGACUCCUACGGGAGGCAGCAGUGGGGAAUCUUGGACAAUGGGCGCAAGCCUGAUCCAGCCAUGCCGCGUGGAUGACUGAAGGCCCUAGGGUUGUAAAGUCCUCUCGACGGGGACCAUAAUGACGGUACCCGUAGAAGAAGCCCCGGCUAACUUCGUGCCAGCAGCCGCGGUAAUACGAAGGGGGCUAGCGUUGUUCGGAUUUACUGGGCGUAAAGGGCGCGUAGGCGGAUUUUUAAGUCGGGGGUGAAAUCCCGGAGCUCAACCCCGGAACUGCCUUCGAUACUGGAAGUCUGGAGCACGGUAGAGGUGAGUGGAAUUCCGAGUGUAGAGGUGAAAUUCGUAGAUAUUCGGAGGAACACCAGUGGCGAAGGCGGCUCACUGGACCGUUGCUGACGCUGAGGCGCGAAAGCGUGGGGAGCAAACAGGAUUAGAUACCCCGGUAGU